rnacentral:misc_RNA from 1 species
GAUUUUAUAAGGGUCCUGCCACAAAAUAGAAACACCAGAAAAAAAAAUUGUAUAAAAAACAAAACAGCAACAAAGAACAGGUACACACAUUCAAACCAUUGAUUUCAUAGAAGAGAUGAAAUGUACAUAAUAAAAAAGCAUAGAAACACUUCAACUGCCUUCUUGAAAAGGGAAGGACUAAUGAUAAAAAAUAAAAAAAUAAAAAAAA